UACGUAGGGCGCAAGCGUUGUCCGGAAUUAUUGGGCGUAAAGAGCUCGUAGGCGGCCAGUUGCGUCUGCUGUGAAAUCCCGGGGCUCAACCCCGGGCGUGCAGUGGAUACGGGCUGGCUAGAGGCAGGCAGGGGAGAACGGAAUUCCCGGUGUAGCGGUGAAAUGCGCAGAUAUCAGGAGGAACACCGGUGGCGAAGGCGGGUCUCUGGGCCGAUACUGACGCUGAGGAGCGAAAGCGUGGGGAGCGAAUAGG
rnacentral:rRNA from 1 species